AUUUAAUAAGCCUGACAGUUGAUUCAAUACUGUUAGAAAAUCUCUCCGAUUUAUUUACAUUCAAAAUGUCAGAGUUAUGGUUUUUCAGUUGAAGGUUAGAUAGAUGGCCAUAGUGUUCAAACUUUAGCAUGUAGUUAAAGUCGGUCACCUGGGAAUUGGACACAUAUUUCAUCAUGUCAUUAUGUCAGCCUAAUCCAGGUCUUUGU